CAGGUGAACCGGGUGACCGCUCCCCGAUUUAUCGGGGGGAGGAAAGUCCGAGCUCCACCGGGCAGGAGGCUGGGUAACGCCCAGGGUCCGGUAAUGUAAGUUAUCGGAUACGGAAAGUGCCACAGAAACAUACCGUCCCGAUGUAUCGGGAUAAGGGUGAAAUGGUGAGGUAAGAGCUCACCGCCCCGAUGGCGACAUCGGUGGCGGGCAAACCCCCUUCGGAGCAAGACCAAAUAGCAGGGAAGAGGACGCCCGGCCUCGUUAUUACCCUCGGGUAGGUCGCUUGACCCCGAUGGUAACAUCGGGGCUAGAUAGAUGGUCACCACCCCGAUUCAAUCGGGGUACAGAACUCGGCUUACAGGUUUGCCUGGCCC
rnacentral:RNase_P_RNA from 1 species